UUAGGCCCUUAUCGAAGCUUCAGCAGUUCCUUUUAUAGCUGUUGCAGUCAAAAAGGAGUCCAGAGUGACAAUUUCCUGACAGUUGUUGUUCUAUUUAACACUGUAGUAGAACAGCAACAUUAUGGGAAAAGACAGAA
rnacentral:snoRNA from 1 species